GGUCAAGCUACAAAGGGCGCAUGGUGAAUGCCUUGGCAUCAGGAGCCGAUGAAGGACGUGAUAAGCUGCGAUAAGCUUCGGGUAGGCGCACAUA
rnacentral:rRNA from 1 species